rnacentral:rRNA from 1 species
UAUCAAUAAGCGGAGGAAAAGAAACUAACAAGGAUUCCCCUAGUAACGGCGAGUGAAGCGGGAUGAGCUCAAAUUUGAAAUCUGGCUGGUUUACUAGUCCGAGUUGUAAUUUAAAGAAGCGUUUUCGGUGGCAGCCUGGGUAUAAAUCCUUUGGAAUAGGGUAUCAUAGAGGGUGAGAAUCCCGUCUUUGACCUAGUGCAUGCUACUAUGUGAUACGUUUUCAAAGAGUCGAGUUGUUUGGGAAUGCAGCUCAAAAUGGGUGGUAAAUUUCAUCUAAAGCUAAAUAUUGGCGAGAGACCGAUAGCGAACAAGUACCGUGAGGGAAAGAUGAAAAGAACUUUGAAAAGAGAGUUAAACAGUGCGUGAAAUUGUUGAAAGGGAAACGUUUGACACCAGUCAUGUGGGUGGAAAAUCAGUCUUUUGCAUUGGGGAGUUGUAAGGGUUCGGACCGCAAGGCCGGCUUUUGCUUCAUCUUUGGUGUAAGUGAUGCACUUUUUCAUCUACAGGUCAACAUCAGUUUCUUUUGCUGGACAAAACUCCGAGAGAAGGUAGCAGCUUAGGCUGUGUUAUAGCUCUGGAGCGAUACAGUGAAGGGGACUGAGGUUUUCGCAGCGUGUGCUCUCGGGCAAGGCUGGAUGGGUGCUAUGGGAUCGUUCGGGGUACAAUGCCUGGCAUUUUGCUUCGUGUCUUUUCUAUACUCGCUCAACUCAGCUCUUCCACGCUUAGGAUGUUGACUUAAUGGUUUUAAACGACCCGUCUUGAAACACGGACCAAGGAGUCUAACAUAUAUGCAAGUGUUUGGGUGGCAAACCCAUGCGCGUAAUGAAAGUGAACGUAGGUGCGAUCCGCAAGGUGCAGCAUCGACCGAUCUUGAUAUUUUUGGAUAGAUUUGAGUAAGAGCAUAUAUGCUGGGACCCGAAAGAUGGUGAACUAUGCCUGAAUAGGGUGAAGCCAGAGGAAACUCUGGUGGAGGCUCGUAGCGAUUCUGACGUGCAAAUCGAUCGUCAAAUUUGGGUAUAGGGGCGAAAGACUAAUCGAACAUCUAGUAGCUGGUCU